rnacentral:rRNA from 1 species
AUGCUCCCGUCUUCCGCCCCUGCACCAGCAGCUGCUCAGGGCGUCGUCCCCCAAAUGCAGCUCGGUUGCCGCUCCCCGUGCAGCUCGGGUGCUGCCUUCUCUCCUUUCUGCUCGCCAUGCUGCUUGGGGAGGAAAGGAGCGAUGGCGGAGGAGCGCACUCAUGGUGGGGGCAGAAAGGAACAGGUGCAGUUCACCCCACCGAAGGAGGCAAGGAGCACGAGCGAGCUCCCUCGCCCGAUGCCGGUGAUUUUGGCUUCCUCGUGCAGUUCAACAGGGCCACCAAUGGCCUUCCCGCGACGACCAGCUGCAGGCAGUUUGGCCAGCAGCGACGGCCACCACUCUGCUCUCUCCCCCUUAUCCACAUUUGUUCAUUCACACAGCAGUCUGGCAGCUCCACCAGCGGCAUGUGCAGUUCACUCCAUGUGA